GUCACCAUUUUGUUUCAAUCUGUUAGUGACUCAAUCCAACGUUCUAACUGAGUCAAAUCUAAGGCUACCAACGAACUGAGUUUGGGCCAGGAUUGUGCGUCCCUGAUUUGGACGAACUCGAGUCAGGACUCCUCGUCCAAACCCUCUAAAUCACUCAAAUCAACCGCUGAUCAGGUCGAGACUCUACAUUCGGUAGUUUGUAACCCCUUAACUCGGUGGCUAGUUGACUCGCCCAGUUUCCCCAACUAAGUCAAGCUAACUCGAUGUUAAAGUCAUCUGAGGAUGAUUUGGGAGGCAUUUGACCCAAUGGAUCAAUAAUCUAACCCUACAGUAGUAAACUACUUAAAUCCAACUCAACUAGUUGGUUAGUUGAAAAUCCCGACCGAGUCGACUCGGUUGUAACUCACUGAGAUUUGGUGAUCUUGUUUAGGUGCUGUUUACAAUUGUGGUCCUUGAAGAAUACUUCCCUUCAAUCGAUUUCAAAUCAAGUAAGUAAAGAACCAUCUCAAGUCACCCAUAGUCCCUACAUGAACUAGAAUAAGAUUUGAUUCUCAUUGCUUUGACUUAGGAAUUCUUACACUCACCUUACAGGAAGGAUCAAAUCAAGAGGAACGUUCAGUCAAGGUGAGGACUCACUCUUUGAGCUUCUCACUUGAUUUCAUCAAUCUAUAUAUAGAUGAUGGCAUGAUUCCCUUAACUGAGUUACUUUACUAUUGAAUAUGCUAGCUUGUUGUAUAGUUAAUUCAUGUGUUGGACGAUAAAUGUUUCUUUUAAAUUAUAAUAUGCAUGAAUGGUUCGAUGAUAACAUGCUAUCCUUUAUUGUAUAUGUAUUAAUUUAUUUAUAUGCUACCACUUGUGCUUGAAUGAUGAACUGAAUGGAACUUACCUUGGACUUAUGAUCCUACGGUCCACAUUUGCCUUUGUGGCUUGGAUGGGUCAUUAGUGCCCUUUGUGGCUUAUUGGUUAUAUUUACACAUCCGUUGUUUCUUAGCCAUCUUGCGGAGUUCUGUCGUACCAUGAUUUCCGGGUGGAGCUGAAGUUCGUUUAUCGAUUUUCUAGCCAUCUUGCGGUGUUCAUGUACGAUAUGAUUUCUGGGUAGUUUAGAGUUGUAUGUUUGUUUUUCUAGCCAUCUUGCGGUGUUCAGUCGUACCAUGAUUUCUGGGUGGAGUUGAAGUUCGCUUGUCGAUUUUCUAGCCAUCUUGCGGUGUUCACGUACGACAUGAUUUUCGGAUGGUCUAGGGUGGAGCUGAAGUUCGCUUAUCGAUUUUCUAGCCAUCUUGCGGAGUUCACGUACAAAUGCGAUUCUCGGGUGUAAUAGAAAGUCGUAUGGUUGAUUGUUUGGUUAUCUGGACAUGUUUCCCUACAUUGCGACUACCAUUAUAUUUUGCUUAUGAUGAAUUUCUGUUGAUUGGUUCGAUUUUCUUAAUAUGAGUAUGACCAUUAAAUGC